UGGGGAAUAUUGCACAAUGGGCGGAAGCCUGAUGCAGCGACGCCGCGUGCGGGAUGAAGGCCUUCGGGUUGUAAACCGCUUUCAGCAGGGACGAGGCCGCAAGGUGACGGUACCUGCAGAAGAAGCCCCGGCUAACUACGUGCCAGCAGCCGCGGUAAUACGUAGGGGGCAAGCGUUAUCCGGAUUCAUUGGGCGUAAAGCGCGCGUAGGCGGUUUGUUAGGUCAGGAGUUAAAUCUGGGGGCUCAACCCCUAUCCGCUCCUGAUACCGGCAGGCUUGAGUCUGGUAGGGGAAGGCGGAAUUCCAAGUGUAGCGGUGAAAUGCGCAGAUAUUUGGAAGAACACCGGUGGCGAAGGCGGCCUUCUGGGCCACGACUGACGCUGAGGCGCGAAAGCUAGGGGAGCGAACAGG
rnacentral:rRNA from 1 species